rnacentral:rRNA from 1 species
AGAUGUUGGGUUAAGUCCCGCAACGAGCGCAACCCUUGUCUUUAGUUGCCAUCAUUAAGUUGGGCACUCUAGAGAGACUGCCAGGGAUAACCUGGAGGAAGGUGGGGAUGACGUCAAAUCAUCAUGCCCCUUAUGCUUAGGGCUACACACGUGCUACAAUGGGUAGUACAGAGGGUUGCCAAGCCGUAAGGUGGAGCUAAUCCCUUAAAGCUACUCUCAGUUCGGAUUGUAGGCUGAAACUCGCCUACAUGAAGCUGGAGUUACUAGUAAUCGCAGAUCAGAAUGCUGCGGUGAAUGCGUUCCCGGGUCUUGUACACACCGCCCGUCACACCACGGGAGUU